UUCUCUGUGCAGCUGUAUCGUAGCCAAUGAGGUUUAUCUGAGGCAUGAUUAUUGCUAACUGAAUAUUUUCCCAAUACUCUGCCAUGAUGAUUUGAAAUAUAGUCAGUAUUAAUCUCUAUGGAGA
ensembl:snRNA U4 U4 spliceosomal RNA